GGCUGGGUGGCCGAGUGGUCUAAGGCGCUACGUUUAGGUCCGCGUUCUCCGGAACGCUACUUAUAUCACCGUAGUCUUCACGGGCGCGAGUUCGAAUCUCGCCCCAGUCA